UGGGGAAUAUUGCACAAUGGGCGCAAGCCUGAUGCAGCCAUGCCGCGUGUAUGAAGAAGGCCUUCGGGUUGUAAAGUACUUUCAGUCGGGAGGAAGGUGGUAAGGUUAAUAACCUUAUCAAUUGACGUUACCGACAGAAGAAGCACCGGCUAACUCCGUGCCAGCAGCCGCGGUAAUACGGAGGGUGCAAGCGUUAAUCGGAAUUACUGGGCGUAAAGCGCACGCAGGCGGUUGAUUGAGUCAGAUGUGAAAUCCCCGGGCUUAACCCGGGAAAUGCAUCUGAUACUGGUCAGCUAGAGUCUUGUAGAGGGGGGUAGAAUUCCAUGUGUAGCGGUGAAAUGCGUAGAGAUGUGGAGGAAUACCGGUGGCGAAGGCGGCCCCCUGGACAAAGACUGACGCUCAGGUGCGAGAGAGUGGGGAGCAAACAGG
rnacentral:rRNA from 1 species